UAAUACUCCAUAGAUUAGAGACACUGGAAUGUUCUUUAGUCGAAAGUUCUGGCGCCUUAGGAUGGAUCUGCGGUCGAUUAGGUUGUUGUUGGGGUAACGGCCCAACAAGCCUGUAAUCGAUACGGGUUGUGGGAGCAAGAGCCCGGAGAUGGAAUCUGAGACACGAUUCCAGGCCCUACGGGGCGCAGCAGGCGCGAAAACUUUACAAUGCAGGAAACUGUGAUAAGGGAACUCCGAGUGCCCGUAUACGCGGGCUGUCCAGGUGUUUAAAAAUCAUCUGAAGAAAGGGCCGGGCAAGACCGGUGCCAGCCGCCGCGGUAAUACCGGCGGCUCGAGUGGUGGCCACUAUUAUUGGGCUUAAAGCGUCCGUAGCUGGACCGAUAAGUCUCUUGGGAAAUCCGCCGGCUCAACCGGCGGGCGUCUAAGGGAUACUGUUAGUCUAGGGACCGGGAGAGGUGAGAGGUACUCCGGGGGUAGGAGUGAAAUCCUGUAAUCCCCGGGGGACCACCGAUGGCCAAGGCAUCUCACCAAAACGGCUCCGACAGUGAGGGACGAAAGCUGGGGGACCGAACCGGAUUAGAUACCCGGGUAUUCCCAGCCG
rnacentral:rRNA from 1 species